AGCUUGCUAAGUUUGAUGGCGACCGGCGCACGGGUGAGUAACACGUAUCCAACCUGCCGAUGACUCGGGGAUAGCCUUUCGAAAGAAAGAUUAAUACCCGAUGGCAUAGUUCUUCCGCAUGGUAGAACUAUUAAAGAAUUUCGGUCAUCGAUGGGGAUGCGUUCCAUUAGGUUGUUGGCGGGGUAACGGCCCACCAAGCCUUCGAUGGAUAGGGGUUCUGAGAGGAAGGUCCCCCACAUUGGAACUGAGACACGGUCCAAACUCCUACGGGAGGCAGCAGUGAGGAAUAUUGGUCAAUGGACGAGAGUCUGAACCAGCCAAGUAGCGUGAAGGAUGACUGCCCUAUGGGUUGUAAACUUCUUUUAUACGGGAAUAAAGUGAGGCACGUGUGCCUUUUUGUAUGUACCGUAUGAAUAAGGAUCGGCUAACUCCGUGCCAGCAGCCGCGGUAAUACGGAGGAUCCGAGCGUUAUCCGGAUUUAUUGGGUUUAAAGGGAGCGUAGGCGGACGCUUAAGUCAGUUGUGAAAGUUUGCGGCUCAACCGUAAAAUUGCAGUUGAUACUGGGUGUCUUGAGUACAGUAGAGGCAGGCGGAAUUCGUGGUGUAGCGGUGAAAUGCUCAGAUAUCACGAAGA
rnacentral:rRNA from 1 species